rnacentral:rRNA from 1 species
CUGUCCAAAACGAUUUUUUUAUAUAUUUUUUUGUUAGCUGUCCUUCUCGCCUGCACGCCCUCUCUGCUCGCUACCGAGCUAUCCGUAGGAGGGGUCCAAGGUCUUGGCGACUGCACCGCGAGGAGAAGGAGGAGGAGGGCGGAGAGGGUAGUGGCGGAGCAGACGGAGUGGCGGCCGCUGGCAGCGAGGGCAUGGGUGUGAGGCCGCGUCCCUACCGAGUUACUCCACACACACUCGGCGCAACUAGACCGAAGACCACCUCACACUUUACCACCUAAAGGGCCUUCCCAACGCUGCCGAGCGACGAGAGGACGAGUUCACGACGCUAGAGCUGUAUGGUUUAGCAGGGUUCCCGGAGCUCCUAGGACUCGCAGACCGUUCCCUUUGUCAAAAAUCGCAUUUACUCUAACUCCGUAACAUACUCGACAAGUUCUUCUAGUCGUCACGACACCAACUACUACCACACUAAUUAUUCCUUCUUAAGGUUGACCGCGACAAAUUCUGAUUGUCCUUUCUAUCGUACAAACGACUGGCCCACAAACUAAACAAGCUGUGUUUCGUGUUACCCUAAGAUCUUAAACUUCUUAAACACGCUCGAGAAAGACAUAAGGUAGGAUUACGUGGUCAACUACUGUUUUAACUAAAACGAAAGUUUGAGAUACUAGAGUUUGUUGUUCCAAAGUAACUUUUCGUUCUCCACUUCGUUUACCACCAACGGUGUGAACGACUUAGUCCUUACUUGGAAAGACUACUCCAAUAUCUCCCAUAAUAGCUGUUCUGUAAACUCCUUCGUCUAUGUUUCGUGCUACCAUUUUAGCUGUUCCUCCUUACCGCGUUAGAACAGAACUCCGUAGGUAGAAACAACUUCUUAUACUGUGAGGGUAUAGAUUCCCUAUAAUGGUGUUGUAAAGGUUCGAAACAGAAGUUGAGAGUCCAGCUCCUACGAACUCUUAGGUCAAAGAUCCAAUGGUGACUUCGAACACUUUCCGGUGCCGUCUGGUACAGCAUCCACCUGGAACACAUAAAAAUAAAGAAAUAAGGAAAAACCGCUAUAGGAAGAACACGAACCUUGUUAAGAACAUUAAAAAAGUGAAGAAAUUUUACACUUAAGGGUCGUUAGAGGAGCACACUCCCGAGAAGAAAACAUAUAUGGGCUCAUAUUAGAUCUUAAUUGACAAGGAAUACAUAUUUGCGAGAAGUGUAUGGAUCAACGGGUACGCUCAUCGUUGACUAUUCGUCGUCAAUAUAAAAUAGCAAG